GAGAGAGAGAGGAACAUCUAUGUGAGAGUGAACCACUGAUCAGCACGUGCCCGACUGGGGAUUGAACCCACAACCUGGGUAUGUGCCCUGACCAGGACUCGAACCAGAGACCUCUCAGUGUGUGGGCUGAUGCUCUAACCAACUGAGCCACACUGGCCAGGGUGCACACAUUUUCUUUUAAGUCAAGGUGGAUUGACAGGAGUGGGUAUUUAAAGAACGGUUUAAGAAGCUUUGUUUUAUUCUCACUUUCCUCUGCUUACCUGUCGUAUACCUCCUCGUCCAUCCAUUUGACUGGUAAAGGGACAGUUUUGUUAUUCUGGCAAAAUGCAACCACAAGAUCAGGAACUCAUUGUCACCCUGCUUUGUGUGUGAAGUAUUUUAAAGUGUUGUUAAGUUGAGAUAAUAUACUUGGCAGAUACAGCCAUUUGGAGUUAGUGAAGAUAAGUUUUAUGAUGGCCCUAUAUCUCAGUCAAAGGAAAAAAAUAAGUCUUUCAAGUGUUGUAAAUAGAAAAGGUUAUAACAAAAUAGAAAAGGAUGAUGUUAUUUAUUGCCAACAGGUCAGUCCGAGGCUUAACCCUAUAUCGGUUCCCCACAAAUAGUCUUUUCAAAAGUGGUGCUGGGACAAUGGAUAGUUAUGUGGAAAAUAAUUAAGUGGGACCACUUCCAUUUAUUGUACAGAAAAUAACUUAAAAAGGCUCAUGAAUCUAAGUGCAGAAAUGUGUUAUAGUCAUACAACAUAAUAUUCAGCUAUAUAAAGGAAUGAAGUACUGACAGAAACUACAACCUGGAUGAAACUUGAAAACAUUAUGUGAAAUGAAGGAAGCCCGUCACAAAAGGCCACAUAUUGUAUGAUUGUAUUUACAUGAAUUGUCCAGAAUAGGCAAAUCCGUAGCGACAGAAAGUGGAUUCGCGGUUGUUAGGACCCGGGAGGGCGUGGGGAAUGGGGAAUUUCUGCUAAUGAACAUAAACGUUUCUUUCAGGAGUCAAUGAAAUGUUCUAAAUUUAGAUAGUGAUGUUGGUUUUACAAGUCUGAUAUACAAAAAACCACUGAACUGGACACUGAAGAGAUGAAUUUUAUGUUGGCAGGAAAGAUUAUUGGUGGCUGAGCCAGAGGCCUGGAGAAGAAAAAGCGCCCGGUUUGAGCAACCAGUAGUUCCUGUCUGGCUACAGACACAAGAAAAGAAGCAGCCAAAUUUUAGUUAAGAAACUGCAAGGGAGGUUGCUCCAUUUGGAACAAAACAGGAAGAAAACAGUUUCAUCUUUGGCUGCCACAACCCGGCUCUGUCCACUCUGGAAAUACUACUGUAAAAGCCUAAGGUAUAGCACCAGCACUGGACAUGGCAGCGAAUAAGUAAACUAUGCUUCUCAGUGUAUGUCGUAGUAUCCAAUGUUGAAUUGAAGGAUUUCUAUUGGACUGUUUGUAGCGUGGACCCUAAGAAAGAACAUACCUACAAAAAAAAGGCUCCCAGUGGCUACCUGGGCUCAAAUUAAAAACAAACAAAAGAACACCAGAACCUAGGAGCCAUUCCUACGCAGGGGCCUCCCUUACAAACUGCACUUCAGGGAGAAGUCUGCACUGAACUGCCUGCCUGCGCUGUAUUUCCGCCAGCUGAGCCAAUCCUCACAAAGGAGUUCCUGGAAUCCUAUUUCCACCAGUAGGACUGAGGCUUUCCCCAUUUAAUCAGAGCUACACACCUGUAUCCCAAUCAGCUUCUUCACUGACCAAAGUGACUCCACUCUGAGCUAUCUGGACAGUGCCUUUGGGACCAAUCAAAUUGUGUGGAUUUGGAGUCUUCAUUUGCAUGAGGACAGACCAAUCAGGGAACAGGGCGGGGACCUCUGUCUAUAUAAGUCAGCUCUCCUCUCUGAGGGUGCACUUUCCCUUUUCACUAAAGAGUGUUUCCCUGCUGUUGUGUUGUUUUUGUUUUGUUUUUCUGGAGCAGACCAGCAUGGAACAGAGCUGUCUGGCUGGAGAGGAGCCUGGCCUCAGAGCUGUCUCACAGUUCUGCUGUAGUUGUAUUACAACUGAGCUAUAUUACAACUGAGCUGUUUUGCACUGAAUAGAGUUUCCGUCUUCACCAUGUCACAAUGUGGGGGUUCCUGUUGGCCUUGAAUUGGCACCAAAGACCCAUCAGUUGACUAUUUUUAGAAAAAGCUUAAAAACCAGGCCCUAGUAAAUGUGUGAGAAUACUGUCUGGCAUUGCAAUAUAAUAGAACUAUGCGGUAUUCACGGAUUUCAUGUGCACUGUUCCACUUGAUACUCAAAUCUGUUAAAAAGAAGAAGGGUAGGGCAAGUAUUAUCUUCAUUUUGCCGAUGAGACUAGUGAGAUUUGGGUAGGUUAAAUGAUUCCUUCAAGUUCACAUUGCUAGUAAGCUGAAAAGUCAGCUUGGGAGCCUCGCUGUUACUUCUGAUUGGAUGUUUUUUCCUAAUAGCCCUACUGAAACAGGAAGGUCUGACUUUGUAGGGGCAGCUGCCUCUGUCUGUGCAUAAACAAUAAGGCAGCCAAGAACUGUUAGGUUUUCUCUUUUUAAAAUUUUAAUAAACCAUCACUGUGCUUAUUAUCAA